rnacentral:rRNA from 1 species
CCUACGGGGGGCAGCAGUAGGGAAUCUUCCACAAUGGGCGAAAGCCUGAUGGAGCAACGCCGCGUGGGUGAAGAAGGUCUUCGGAUCGUAAAACUCUGUUGUUAGAGAAGAAAGUGCGUGAGAGUAACUGUUCACGUUUCGACGGUAUCUAACCAGAAAGCCACGGCUAACUACGUGCCAGCAGCCGCGGUAAUACGUAGGUGGCAAGCGUUAUCCGGAUUUAUUGGGCGUAAAGGGAACGCAGGCGGUCUUUUAAGUCUGAUGUGAAAGCCUUCGGCUUAACCGGAGUAGUGCAUUGGAAACUGGGAGACUUGAGUGCAGAAGAGGAGAGUGGAACUCCAUGUGUAGCGGUGAAAUGCGUAGAUAUAUGGAAGAACACCAGUGGCGAAGGCGGCUCUCUGGUCUGUAACUGACGCUGAGGUUCGAAAGCGUGGGUAGCAAACAGGAUUAGAUACCCCUGUAGUC